GCUCUUUAUUUUGUUGGAUUAUUCUGUUGCUUUGCAUUGAUUUCUGUCUAUAGGUGUCAGUGGCGUGCGAUGCGCGUGGAGGUGACGGGAGGCGGCGGCAUGCGAGGAAGCCCUGCUGACAUGCGGCACGCCCUAGGGUUUUUUUUUUUUGCCUCCUUUUUUGCUGAAUGUUUAUAUUGUGGACCAUUGGGCCUUUAGGGUUUAGGUUUAAUUGGGAUAGUGCUGAUGGGUUUUGGGCUUGUAUUGUAAUUUUGGACUGUGGACAUUUUAAUUAUUAUUUUAUUUUUUGGGGUUAUUUGUUAUUGGGCCGGGAAAAAAUUGGGUCUUACACUCUCUUUUUUUAUUUAAUGAAAAUUCAUUAUAUGAAUUCUAUGGUAAACUUACAACAAUUAUCUUUCUAUAACAACAUGAUGUUGUAGCUAUAUAAUAGCCAUUUCUCUAUUACAGACAAAUUUUGAAUAGACAAACGAGACUAUUAUAAAAAUGAUAAACUGUAUAAUUUUAAAAUUCA
rnacentral:lncRNA from 1 species